rnacentral:misc_RNA from 1 species
GAUGAAGAACGCAGCGAAAUGCGAUACGUAAUGUGAAUUGCAGAAUUCAGUGAAUCAUCGAGUCUUUGAACGCACAUUGCGCCCUCUGGUAUUCCGGAGGGCAUGCCUGUCCGAGCGUCAUUGCUGCCCUCAAGCACGGCUUGUGUGUUGGGCUCCGUCCCCCGAUCCCGGGGGACGGGCCCGAAAGGCAGCGGCGGCACCGCGUCCGGUCCUCGAGCGUAUGGGGCUUUGUCACCCGCUCUGUAGGCCCGGCCGGCGCUUGCCGAUCAACCAAAUUUUUAUCCAGGUUGACCUCGGAUCAGGUAGGGAUACCCGCUGAACUUAAGCAUAUCAAUAAGGGAGGA